GACUUAAGCAUAUCAAUAAGCGGAGGAAAAGAAACCAACAGGGAUUGCCCUAGUAACGGCGAGUGAAGCGGCAACAGCUCAAAUUUGAAAUCUGGCCUCUUUGGGGUCCGAGUUGUAAUUUGCAGAGGGCGCUUUGGCGUUGGCAGCGGUCCAAGUUCCUUGGAACAGGACGUCACAGAGGGUGAGAAUCCCGUACGUGGUCGCUGGCCUUCGCCGUGUAAAGCCCCUUCGACGAGUCGAGUUGUUUGGGAAUGCAGCUCUAAAUGGGAGGUAAAUUUCUUCUAAAGCUAAAUACUGGCCAGAGACCGAUAGCGCACAAGUAGAGUGAUCGAAAGAUGAAAAGCACUUUGGAAAGAGAGUUAAAAAGCACGUGAAAUUGUUGAAAGGGAAGCGCUUGCAGCCAGACUUGCCUGUAGUUGCUCAUCUGGGUUUUUACCCAGUGCACUCUUCUGCGGGCAGGCCAGCAUCAGUUUGGGCGGUUGGAUAAAGGUCUCUGUCAUGUACCUCUCUUCGGGGAGGCCUUAUAGGGGAGACGUCAUGCAACCAGCCUGGACUGAGGUCCGCGCAUCUGCUAGGAUGCUGGCGUAAUGGCUGUAAGCGGCCCGUCUUGAAACACGGACCAAGGAGUCUAACAUCUAUGCGAGUGUUUGGGUGUCAAGCCCGAGCGCGUAAUGAAAGUGAACGGAGGUGGGAACCUUUCGGGGUGCACCAUCGACCGAUCCUGAUGUCUUCGGAUGGAUUUGAGUAAGAGCAUAGCUGUUGGGACCCGAAAGAUGGUGAACUAUGCUUGAAUAGGGUGAAGCCAGAGGAAACUCUGGUGGAGGCUCGCAGCGGUUCUGACGUGCAAAUCGAUCGUCAAAUUUGGGCAUAGGGGCGAAAGACUAAUCGAACUAUCUAGUAGCUGGUUCCUGCCG
rnacentral:rRNA from 1 species